rnacentral:rRNA from 1 species
GGUUAAGCGACUAAGCGUACACGGUGGAUGCCCUGGCAGUCAGAGGCGAUGAAGGACGUGCUAAUCUGCGAUAAGCGUCGGUAAGGUGAUAUGAACCGUUAUAACCGGCGAUUUCCGAAUGGGGAAACCCAGUGUGAUUCGUCACACUAUCAUUAACUGAAUCCAUAGGUUAAUGAGGCGAACCGGGGGAACUGAAACAUCUAAGUACCCCGAGGAAAAGAAAUCAACCGAGAUUCCCCCAGUAGCGGCGAGCGAACGGGGAGCAGCCCAGAGCCUGAAUCAGUGUGUGUGUUAGUGGAAGCGUCUGGAAAGGCGCGCGAUACAGGGUGACAGCCCCGUACACAAAAAUGCACAUGCUGUGAGCUCGAUGAGUAGGGCGGGACACGUGGUAUCCUGUCUGAAUAUGGGGGGACCAUCCUCCAAGGCUAAAUACUCCUGACUGACCGAUAGUGAACCAGUACCGUGAGGGAAAGGCGAAAAGAACCCCGGCGAGGGGAGUGAAAAAGAACCUGAAACCGUGUACGUACAAGCAGUGGGAGCACGCUUAGGCGUGUGACUGCGUACCUUUUGUAUAAUGGGUCAGCGACUUAUAUUCUGUAGCAAGGUUAACCGAAUAGGGGAGCCGAAGGGAAACCGAGUCUUAACUGGGCGUUAAGUUGCAGGGUAUAGACCCGAAACCCGGUGAUCUAGCCAUGGGCAGGUUGAAGGUUGGGUAACACUAACUGGAGGACCGAACCGACUAAUGUUGAAAAAUUAGCGGAUGACUUGUGGCUGGGGGUGAAAGGCCAAUCAAACCGGGAGAUAGCUGGUUCUCCCCGAAAGCUAUUUAGGUAGCGCCUCGUGAAUUCAUCUCCGGGGGUAGAGCACUGUUUCGGCAAGGGGGUCAUCCCGACUUACCAACCCGAUGCAAACUGCGAAUACCGGAGAAUGUUAUCACGGGAGACACACGGCGGGUGCUAACGUCCGUCGUGAAGAGGGAAACAACCCAGACCGCCAGCUAAGGUCCCAAAGUCAUGGUUAAGUGGGAAACGAUGUGGGAAGGCCCAGACAGCCAGGAUGUUGGCUUAGAAGCAGCCAUCAUUUAAAGAAAGCGUAAUAGCUCACUGGUCGAGUCGGCCUGCGCGGAAGAUGUAACGGGGCUAAACCAUGCACCGAAGCUGCGGCAGCGACGCUUAUGCGUUGUUGGGUAGGGGAGCGUUCUGUAAGCCUGUGAAGGUGUGCUGUGAGGCAUGCUGGAGGUAUCAGAAGUGCGAAUGCUGACAUAAGUAACGAUAAAGCGGGUGAAAAGCCCGCUCGCCGGAAGACCAAGGGUUCCUGUCCAACGUUAAUCGGGGCAGGGUGAGUCGACCCCUAAGGCGAGGCCGAAAGGCGUAGUCGAUGGGAAACAGGUUAAUAUUCCUGUACUUGGUGUUACUGCGAAGGGGGGACGGAGAAGGCUAUGUUGGCCGGGCGACGGUUGUCCCGGUUUAAGCGUGUAGGCUGGUUUUCCAGGCAAAUCCGGAAAAUCAAGGCUGAGGCGUGAUGACGAGGCACUACGGUGCUGAAGCAACAAAUGCCCUGCUUCCAGGAAAAGCCUCUAAGCAUCAGGUAACAUCAAAUCGUACCCCAAACCGACACAGGUGGUCAGGUAGAGAAUACCAAGGCGCUUGAGAGAACUCGGGUGAAGGAACUAGGCAAAAUGGUGCCGUAACUUCGGGAGAAGGCACGCUGAUAUGUAGGUGAAGCGACUUGCUCGUGGAGCUGAAAUCAGUCGAAGAUACCAGCUGGCUGCAACUGUUUAUUAAAAACACAGCACUGUGCAAACACGAAAGUGGACGUAUACGGUGUGACGCCUGCCCGGUGCCGGAAGGUUAAUUGAUGGGGUUAGCGCAAGCGAAGCUCUUGAUCGAAGCCCCGGUAAACGGCGGCCGUAACUAUAACGGUCCUAAGGUAGCGAAAUUCCUUGUCGGGUAAGUUCCGACCUGCACGAAUGGCGUAAUGAUGGCCAGGCUGUCUCCACCCGAGACUCAGUGAAAUUGAACUCGCUGUGAAGAUGCAGUGUACCCGCGGCAAGACGGAAAGACCCCGUGAACCUUUACUAUAGCUUGACACUGAACAUUGAGCCUUGAUGUGUAGGAUAGGUGGGAGGCUUUGAAGUGUGGACGCCAGUCUGCAUGGAGCCGACCUUGAAAUACCACCCUUUAAUGUUUGAUGUUCUAACGUUGACCCGUGAUCCGGGUUGCGGACAGUGUCUGGUGGGUAGUUUGACUGGGGCGGUCUCCUCCUAAAGAGUAACGGAGGAGCACGAAGGUUGGCUAAUCCUGGUCGGACAUCAGGAGGUUAGUGCAAUGGCAUAAGCCAGCUUGACUGCGAGCGUGACGGCGCGAGCAGGUGCGAAAGCAGGUCAUAGUGAUCCGGUGGUUCUGAAUGGAAGGGCCAUCGCUCAACGGAUAAAAGGUACUCCGGGGAUAACAGGCUGAUACCGCCCAAGAGUUCAUAUCGACGGCGGUGUUUGGCACCUCGAUGUCGGCUCAUCACAUCCUGGGGCUGAAGUAGGUCCCAAGGGUAUGGCUGUUCGCCAUUUAAAGUGGUACGCGAGCUGGGUUUAGAACGUCGUGAGACAGUUCGGUCCCUAUCUGCCGUGGGCGCUGGAGAACUGAGGGGGGCUGCUCCUAGUACGAGAGGACCGGAGUGGACGCAUCACUGGUGUUCGGGUUGUCAUGCCAAUGGCACUGCCCGGUAGCUAAAUGCGGAAGAGAUAAGUGCUGAAAGCAUCUAAGCACGAAACUUGCCCCGAGAUGAGUUCUCCCUGACUCCUUGAGAGUCCUGAAGGAACGUUGAAGACGACGACGUUGAUAGGCCGGGUGUGUAAGCGCAGCGAUGCGUUGAGCUAACCGGUACUAAUGAACCGUGAGGCUUAACCUU